rnacentral:tRNA from 1 species
GGCCUUAUAUUCAUUAAUGAUAAUAGAAUGCAAUUCUGUAGGAGUAGUAGUACUACUAAGGCUU